rnacentral:rRNA from 1 species
UACGUAGGGAGCAAGCGUUGUCCGGAAUCAUUGGGCGUAAAGCGCGCGUAGGUGGCCUCAUAAGUCCGCUGUGAAAGUCAAAGGCUCAACCUUUGAAAGCCGGUGGAUACUGUGAGGCUAGAGUACGGAAGAGGCGAGUGGAAUUCCUGGUGUAGCGGUGGAAUGCGCAGAUAUCAGGAGGAACACCGGUGGCGAAGGCGGGUCUCUGGGACGUUACUGACACUGAGGCGCGAAAGCGUGGGGAGCGAACAGG